rnacentral:lncRNA from 1 species
GAGAACCACAACAGAAAGUCACUCCAGGUUGUGGGUGAGUGUUGUGUCAGCUCCGAAGGGGCAGGUGUACAAGUACAGAUCUGCAAAAGAACUGAUUGUACAUUUGUGACUGAAGGAGAUGUGGGGGAGGAUGUGACUGAGCAAGUACAUGUAUGCAUGUAUGUGGAAAUGUUCCAGAGCUCAGAACAAGCCUGUGAAUACAUGCAGGCAUGUGUGAGGGCGAGUAGUUGAAUGAAUGAAUCAGGAAGGUGAAAGGAUUCAGGAAGACUGGAGUUCAAAUCCAGCCUCAGAUACAUACCUGCGUGACUCUGGGCAAACCACUUGAUAUGUUUGCCUCAGUUUUCACCUGUAAAAUAGGCAUAAUAGCAGCACAUACCUUGCAGGGUUUUUGGAAGGAUCAAAUGAGAUUAUGUUUGUAAAAAGCACUUAGUACUAUAUAAAUGUAUAUUCACUUCCCUUCCCCAGUGAGGCAUGGCAUGCUCAUAUUUCUCAGUGGCAUUGUGGGAGGAACACGGCUCCAUAAACUUGAAAGGAUUGUGUUAAGGCGCCCCAGGAAAAGAAGUCUGAGAUCUGAGAGCAUCGGGAGUACCAAUUCAUUAUCUCCAUUAUCUCGCUAGAUCCUCUUAAGAACCCAGUGAGAUGAGAGGUGACAGUCGAGGUGUUGCCGAGAGAAGACUGCAGCCUGUCUGAGGCCCUGGGAUGUUGACCUCAGUGGAUGGAUGACCCCUGGAUGGGUGGGUUCGCUUGUUUUGUAUCUUGCUUUAUCUGUCUCUUUCCUUCUUAGGGAGAAAAAUGGA